rnacentral:rRNA from 1 species
UACGGGGGGGGCAAGCGUUGUUCGGAAUUACUGGGCGUAAAGGGUUCGUAGGUGGCCAACUAAGUCAGACGUGAAAUCCCUCAGCUUAACUGGGGAACUGCGUCUGAUACUGGUUGGCUUGAGUGCAGGAGAGGAUAGUGGAAUUCCCAGUGUAGAGGUGAAAUUCGUAGAUAUUGGGAAGAACAUCGGUGGCGAAGGCGGCUAUCUGGCCCGUAAUUGACGCUGAGGCGCGAAAGCGUGGGGAGCAAACAGG